UACAGAGGGUGCGAGCGUUAAUCGGAAUUACUGGGCGUAAAGCGCGCGUAGGCGGCUUUUCAAGCCGAUUGUGAAAUCCCCGGGCUUAACCUGGGAACUGCAGUCGGGACUGUCUAGCUAGAGUAUGGGAGAGGGAAGUGGAAUUUCAGGUGUAGCGGUGAAAUGCGUAGAUAUCUGAAGGAACAUCAGUGGCGAAAGCGACUUCCUGGACCAAUACUGACGCUCAUGUGCGAAAGCGUGGGGAGCAAACAGGG
rnacentral:rRNA from 1 species